rnacentral:rRNA from 1 species
GACAGAGGGUGCAAGCGUUGUUCGGAUUGACUGGGCGUAAAGGGCGUGUAGGCGGUUAGGUAAGUCCGUUGUGAAAUCAACAUCGCUUAACGGGUUGUCCGCAUCGGAAACUGUCUAACUUGAGUAUAGGAGAGGAUAACGGAAUUCCUGGUGUAGCGGUGGAAUGUGUAGAUAUCAGGAGGAACACCGGUGGCGAAGGCGGUUAUCUGGCCUAAUACUGACGCUGAGGCGCGAAAGCUAGGGGAGCAAACCGG